AUGACAGCAGAAUACAUUUUGAUUCAUUGUUCACAAAUGCAUCACAACUUUACAUUUCUAUGCUUGUACACGAUGUAGCUUUGCACCAUAUGUGCAGUCAUACAUGUACCUAGGGUAAUGAUGUCCAUCUCAUUCCACCCUCUUUCCUACCCCCAUGCCCCCACCCCACCCAAUCCCUACCUCCCCUUUGCCCCAUCAAAGUUUCUCAAUUUUUUCCAUGUUUCCCCCAUUAUAGAUCAGCAUCCACUUAUCAGAGAGAACAUUCAGCCUUUGGGUUUUGGGGAUUGGUUUACUUCACUUAGCAUGAUAUUCUCCAACUCCAUCCAUUUACCUGCAAAUACCAUGAUUUUUUGGGAAAGACAGGGAUAAUCCACUCAGACCAUAACCUUAAGACCCCCCUCCCCAUCCUGCAAUCCUACUCUGGAAUCGGCCAAGUCUUGUAUGUUGCAACCUGUUCCAGUGGUCUGCUUCCUGCCCUCAACUACACAGGCACCAACUGUCUAAUUAGGGUUCUUUUGCAGUUAGUCUUUAGACCACAUGAUGGCGCUGUUGAAGCUUUGGUCUGUAUAGCCUCGUGGUCAUUGCCAUUCCUUUUCCUAUGAGACAUUUUUGCUAACCCAGACUCUUUUAUUCAAAUACAAAAUGCUUCACGAAUUUGCAUGUCAUCCUCGAACAGGGGCCAUGCUAAUCUUCCUUGUAUAGUUG
rnacentral:lncRNA from 1 species